rnacentral:rRNA from 1 species
UAUCUCUGUAGAGUCUGCAUAUCAAUAAGCGGAGGAAAAGAAACUAACAAGGAUUCCCUUAGUAACGGCGAGUGAAGCGGGAAGAGCUCAAAUUUGAAAUCUUCAAGGUUCUACCUUGACGAAUUGUAGUUUAUAGAAGUGUUUUCUGUUAGUGGAGUGGCAAAAGUUCUUUGGAAUAGGACAUCAUAGAGGGUGAGAAUCCCGUAUUUGGUCAUUCCUCCUAGCGUUGUGAUACACUUUCAACGAGUCGGAUUGUUUGGGAAUGCAGCCCAAAAUGGGUGGUAAAUUUCAUCUAAAGCUAAAUAUUGGCGAGAGACCGAUAGCGAACAAGUACCGUGAGGGAAAGAUGAAAAGAACUUUGAAAAGAGAGUUAAACAGUACGUGAAAUUGUCAAAAGGGAAGCGUUUGACACCAGUGUUGUUUUUCCGAAAAUCAAUUACGAAUGGCUUGAUUUUGUGUUGUAUUGACCUUAUCAGCUUUCUUCACUUUUUUCGAGUCUUUCUUAAUGCACUUUUUGGUUAACAAGUCAACAUCAAUUUCUUUUGUUGUAAAAGAGUAUUCGGAAGGUGGCUUUCUUUUCGGAGAAAGUGUUUAUAGCCCUAUACUUCUACAAUCGGAGAGAUUGAGGUCUGCAGCGUAGAUCCUUCGGGGUUAGAUACACUUGUGCUAAGUUGUAGCUUUUCAUAGACAACUUGUUGACUAUGUUUAGUCAUGCGGCUUACUCGCUUGUGCUAUUUUACCUACGCUUAGGAUGUUGACUGAUAUGUAGUCGUA